rnacentral:misc_RNA from 1 species
ACACCUCAACUCUCAUGGUUCGCCAUGAUGAGCUUGGACUUUGGGGGCCUUGCCGGCUUGACUGUCGGCUCCUCUCAAAUGAAUCAGCUUGCCAGUGUUUGGUGGCAUCACAGGUGUGAUAACUAUCUACGCUUGUGACCGUUCACCAGGUAACCUUCAGCGAUGGAGGUUCGCUGGAGCUCACAGACGUCUCUCCCCAGGGAGGACAGCUUCUAAAU